AAUUCACGCAGGUUUUUCCUAAACUCUACAUACGCAUGUGACUCCAGUCCCACAGGUGUAGUAUCUGUGUUAUUCAGUCCUCAGAGUGUUACGGUAACUUCCCUCUCUCUUCAACGCUUGGUUUCAGGCGUAGCUGCUCACAAUGGGAGGUCACAGCGUUGCCCGUUUAGCACUCAUAGUCCUUUCUGUUGUCAUUUUCAUCAUCUGCAUCAUAUUCAACGCACUUGCUGGACCGGGAACUGGUCCUUUUCGGAACAACACUGGAGCGAUAUCAGAUAAAUACAAUACAGAAAUCACUCCCUCGGGAUGGACCUUCUCAAUCUGGGGUGUCAUCUACACUUGGCUGUCACUCAUGCAUGUUUACAUCCUCACCACUACCUGCAGGAGGACUGUUUAUGGUCCAAUGUACUGCAGUCCUGCUGUGUUGCCAUAUGGAUUCUUCAUAACCUGGAUUGUAAACAUGCUGCUAAAUAUAAUCUGGCUUCUUCUGUGGGACAGACAGGUGAUGAUUGCUGCAUUCAUUAUCCUUGCCUUGAUUGCCUUCACAAACUAUUUGCUUAUAAUCUUCUCCUGUCAUGGACUCAAACAAUAUGGAGCCUGGUUAAACAAAUAUCACAAAGUAGACCUCUGGUGCAUACGGAUAUUGGUUCAGAAUGGCAUUGCAACAUACACAACAUGGACAACAAUUGCCACUCUGAUUAACUUCACUGUUGUGCUGAGAUAUGAUGCUGGAAUGACCCAGUCAGAUGCAGCAACAGUCUCUCUCUCUAUUCUUUUGGGUGAAGCUAUUUCUUGGUUCAUUGUUGAGAACUUUGUGUUUGAAAAGCACCUGCGAUACAUUCUGACAGUCUACCCUGUUGUUAUUGUGGCCUUGAGUGGAAACAUGACCAAGAACUUUAAAUCUGCAGAUCCAAGCCGCAGCGGCAUUUACAUAGCUGUUUUACUGGGGUUGACUUGUACACUAUUUGCGAUCAAAGUGUUGCUGGUUAUAUGGAGGCACAUUAAACAUCCUCUCUACAAAGGCAUGAAUGUAGAGGAGGAGAUAUCACCAAUGGAAAUUGCUGAAAAGCAGAAGAAGAUCUUCACUUAAACGGAAUAAUGUUUGUAUCAUUCGAUUUUAUAUUUGUCAUGCUAUUUAUUUAUUAUAGCAUUAUAAUCAAUGCUAUUUAUUUUUAUAAUUGUUCAAAUGUGUAAAUAUGUAAUUUUGAUAAAUGAUGAAGUAAAAACUAAAAUGCAAAGCUUGUGUAAAUGAGUUACACACAUUUAAUUGCUCUUAUCAGGGCAGGGGGUGUCUUAGAGUAUCUUUACAGUGACCAUGAUCUGUGCACUGUUAUGUACCAUUUUUCUCCAGCAAUAAAAUCAUAAAACUCACUAGGGUUUAAAGUUUUUGUAAAGUUUUAGAUGGGAAGUCAAGAGGUUGUUGGCUCAAUCCCAACAAGUGGUGACUGAAAAUAGAAUCAUGAUCACAAU
rnacentral:lncRNA from 1 species